rnacentral:rRNA from 1 species
GAUGAACGCUCGCUACAGGCUUAACACAUGCAAGUCGCGGGGCAGCAUGGGGGUUGCUUGCAAUCCCCGAUGGCGACCGGCGCACGGGUGAGUAACGCGUAUCCAACCUGCCCUUCACCACGGGAUAACCCGGCGAAAGUCGGACUAAUACCGUAUGUUGUCCAUUGACGGCAUCCGAUUUGGACGAAAGGUUUGGCGGUGAAGGAUGGGGAUGCGCCCGAUUAGCUGGACGGCGGGGUGACGGCCCACCGUGGCGACGAUCGGUAGGGGUUCUGAGAGGAAGGUCCCCCACACUGGAACUGAGACACGGUCCAGACUCCUACGGGGGGCAGCAGUGAGGAAUAUUGGUCAAUGGGCGUAAGCCUGAACCAGCCAAGUAGCGUGCAGGAUGACGGCCCUAUGGGUUGUAAACUGCUUUUAUGCGGGGAUAAAGUGGCCCACGUGUGGGUUUUUGCAGGUACCGCAUGAAUAAGGACCGGCUAAUUCCGUG